GGCCGUCUGGCGGAACUGGCAGACGCAGUGGACUCAAAAUCCACCGACCGCAAGGUCAUCCCGGUUCGAUUCCGGGGACGGCCA
rnacentral:tRNA from 1 species